AGAGUUUGAUCAUGGCUCAGGAUUAACGCUAGCGGCAGGCCUAAUACAUGCAAGUCGAACGGGAUUAUUGGUAGCAAUACUGAUAUGAGAGUGGCGCACGGGUGCGUAACGCGUAUGCAACCUACCUCUAACUGGGGGAUAGCCUUCCGAAAGGGAGAUUAAUACCGCAUAAAACAGUGAAAUGGCAUCAUUUUAUUGUCAAAACUCCGGUGGUUAGAGAUGGGCAUGCGUAAUAUUAGCUAGUUGGUGAGGUAAUGGCUCACCAAGGCUACGAUAUUUAGGGGGUCUGAGAGGAUGAUCCCCUACACUGGUACUGAGACACGGACCAGACUCCUACGGGAGGCAGCAGUAAGGAAUAUUGGACAAUGGUGGCAACACUGAUCCAGCCAUGCCGCGUGCAGGAUGAAUGCCCUAUGGGUUGUAAACUGCUUUUAUACGGGAAAAAACCCUACUACGUGUAGUAGGCUGAUGGUACCGUAAGAAUAAGGAUCGGCUAACUUCGUGCCAGCAGCCGCGGUAAUACGAAGGAUUCGAGCGUUAUCCGGAUUUAUUGGGUUUAAAGGGUGCGUAGGUGGAUUAAUAAGUCAGUGGUGAAAGCCCGGAGCUCAACUCUGGAACUGCCAUUGAUACUGUUAGUCUUGAGUACAGUUGAGGUGGGCGGAAUGUGUCAUGUAGCGGUGAAAUGCUUAGAUAUGACACAGAACACCGAUUGCGAAGGCAGCUCACUAAGCUGUAACUGACACUGAGGCACGAAAGUGUGGGUAGCAAACAGGAUUAGAUACCCUAGUAGUCC
rnacentral:rRNA from 1 species